rnacentral:rRNA from 1 species
AGGAAAAGAAACCAACAGGGAUUGCCUCAGUAACGGCGAGUGAAGCGGCAAAAGCUCAAAUUUGAAAUCUAGUACCUUCGGUGCUCGAGUUGUAAUUUGAAGAUAGUUUUCUGGUGCUGGCCCUUGUCUAUGUUCCUUGGAACAGGACGUCAUAGAGGGUGAGAAUCCCGUCUGAUGGGGUGUCCAGUGCUUUGUAGAUUUCUAUCGAAGAGUCGAGUUGUUUGGGAAUGCAGCUCUAAGUGGGUGGUAAAUUCCAUCUAAAGCUAAAUACUGGCGAGAGACCGAUAGCGAACAAGUACAGUGAUGGAAAGAUGAAAAGAACUUUGAAAAGAGAGUGAAAAAGUACGUGAAAUUGUUGAAAGGGAAGGAUAUUGGAUCAGACUUGGUGUUUUGUGAUUAUCUUCCCUUCUUGGGUUGUGCACUCGCAUUUCACUGGGCCAGCAUCGGUUCGGAUGGCAAGAUAAUGGCUUGGGAACGUGGCACCCCUCGGGGUGUGUUAUAGCCCUUGUUGAUGUUGCCUAUCUGGACCGAGGACUGCGGCUUCUGCCUAGGAUGCUGGCGUAAUGAUUCAAUAUCGCCCG